rnacentral:lncRNA from 1 species
CAAGAUCCCAAUUUUGACUGAUAACAAAUUGCAAGGUGAUCUAUUGUUCAGAUUGGCAGGUAUGUGUAAAGCUGGCAAAUUUCAAAUCCAAUCUCUAUAUCACUCUUUGCUCCCAGUUUUCCCUAGGGUGGAAUGGAAGAACUUAAUGGCUACAACUAAUGUCUUGCCUAGACAUAAGUUUACUACAUGGCUGGCUGCUCAUGGUCGACUGCCUACUGUCGACAGAUUGUUGAAGUUUGGAAUAAGUGUAGAGGAAAAACGUGUAUUCUGUCAACAGGCUGUUGAAGAAUUUGAUCAUUCAUACUUUACCUGUCCAGCUACAAGUAUGAUAUGGUACAAAAUUUGCUGCUGGUUGGGAUGCAACAGAACAAUAGGAUGCUAGAAUGAUGAACUCCUAUGGAUUUGUUGCCUUGCUAGGAGUAAAGUGUGGAAAAAGGCUGUGGUGGCCACUGCUUUUGUCACCACAGUAUCACUUAUCUGGAGGAGCAGGAAUGCUAUCAGAUUCGAGGGGAAGUCUUAUGAUGAAAAUCAUGUUUGCCGAGAGAUUUCAAUACUUAUACAUGCUCGGGGCAGGAAAUGUAAGAAAUGGCAAAAGGGACAGGAAUACUAUCAUAUUCGAGGGGAAGUCUUAUGAUGAAAAUCAUGUCUGCCGAGAGAUUGCAAUACUUAUACAUGCUCGGGGCAGGAAAUGUAAGAAAUGACAAAAGGGGCU